CAUGCUACCCAGGGCAUAUUGGGGGUGCAUGUGCACAUGUGCAUGUGGAAAAACUGAUGACAAUAGAGAUGCACCCUCUCACCCCAGGACCCGAAAAAAAUGAGAGCCAAGGGGACCAACACCCAGAUGAAGCAACAACAUUUGUUUCUGGUACCAUUGUAGGCGGCUCUCCAGCUGGGGACCUACAUGGGGAGAGGAGACAGCUCAACUUCAUUGCUGCUGGUGGAAUUGCGAAUUCAUUUGGUCUUCUCAUCAUCAUUCUGUUGCACAAAAACUGGAUCUGGGUUCAGCACUUUGGACAGCACUGGGGUGACCCAAAAGUGGACAUGAUGGGCGAUGUACCAGGGACAUUCAUGGGGAGAAACCAUAUCUCAUUUGGCCUCUAUCUUUCUUAAGCAGCCAUCCAGGAUUGACCAGAGGAUGGACGACACAGCCACUGAAGCCCAAAGAGAUCUUGUCACCCUAGCAGCUAACAUCUGUCCUCCUCCAGGAAGCCUCCUCCAGGAUUCCUAGAACACCAACCUUUGAAUUGUCCAGCUCUUGUCUGGAAUAGAAGGACUUGAAAAGCACACAUUGUCCAACUCUGUGAUUUUACAGCAAAAAAGCUCCACAGGGGCAGGGACUGAAUC
rnacentral:lncRNA from 1 species